GUGGGCGCGUCGCGGCCUCUCAGGGGACCUCGGGGCUUGGAUAACUCAGGGUCUCACGCCCCAGGCGAGGAGGAGUCCUGUGGAGAGAUGCGGCGUGGGCGUCGGCGUUGGCCAAGCCCUCGGAGGACCCCGGCGGGGCGCUGCGGUCUCCCAGGCAGGCUGGGCCUCCGAGCCUGGAGCGUUUCGCCAAGACCAAGAGGCACUAUUUUCAAUACCCACAGCACAUCUGGUUUAAAGACUUAGAGGGGGCAAGUCAUCUUCCUAUCCAUUGCACUGAAGAAGGAGGUCCUUUCAAGCACGGAUCGCAGUGCCCAGUGGUCAAUACCCUUACUUUUAUCCAGUGUCUGCUUCAUUUAAACUUAAUCAACUCCAUCAAUGAACUGGAACAGGGAAACGUCCCUACGGCUUCUAAUGUGAGGAAAAACACUGAAUGACAAGUGUGGGAAAGAGCAAGCACUAAAUUACUGUCAGAAAAAUAAACGGAGUAGCACAGUGGUGCUCAGUGAUUUACGGGGGCAAUUAGUCACCACCCCACGGCGCUGCUGAGGACAGCACAGCAGCAGACUCGUCAGGCCCACGAGGAAGAAGAGGCUUUGCAUUGCUCUCCAGACAACUUUUCAAACAACAAACAACAAGAAUCUGAGCACAUUAGGUUCCAUGUCUUCAGUCUGGACAACCACCCUUCAUAUUUUUCUUCCAACUUGAUACAUAAGUGUGGCUUUAGCACGAUAUUAACCUGUUCUGUGUUAAAAAGAUUCUAACUGCAACUUUUUUCUUGCCCAUUCUCCAAAGUGGGUUCUUUCCCAUCCCUAAAAAACAAAAAACGCUUCUUGCUCCCGUCAUCCCCCUAGUAUAUGGCGCCAGUCUGUCUCAUUCUUCUUGCAUCUUGCUACCUGUGUUAUACAUUUGUGCAGAGGCACUGACUGCUAAGAAAUUUUAUCUGCAAAUCUUCUGCAGAAGUUUGUAAGCUGGUAUGAGGAAGUGAGAAGGAAUGCAAAACAUAGGGUCAAUGAAGACCAUGAACUUCUCCAUAUAAGUUAAUAUGUUCUUUAACAUACUCUCUGUAGUGUUUGUAUAUGUAACACAGGAAAAUAAACCUACUCAGGGAGAAUUAAUUGGUGUUCAUUCCUUAAUAAAUAUAUAAAUAUAUAAAUAUAUGAAUAUCCAUCAGAAGAAACCAG
rnacentral:lncRNA from 1 species